AAGCUCCCAGAGCCCUUGCACAGAAAAAGAAGCAUUUGCUCUGUGCAGCUAAGAAUCCAGCUUUUAAUUCUAUCUUUUCUUGUGUUUACAUAAACUUUCGUUUGCAUUUCAGAAGCCUUAUGGAAAGAUUCCUGUGGCUGACCCAGGAGUAGUGGUGAAUUUCUCCAUCAAGUGAGUAUUGAUGAGCUGCAAAGUUCAGUGAACAGGAAAAUUCUGCUCCUUUUAUUGCCAAUGUGACAGGUUACUUUAUUACCAUGCCUUUCACAGCAAUUUAACAGUUACCCUGGUAACGGAUUCAGUGAGGUAAUGGGAUCACAGGCAUUGGAGCGGAGGCAGGCUGGCCGCUCGGCGCAGCCAUCUGCUGGCUGCUGUUCCGGAGGCUGUCUGCCUGGAGGAGCCCUGACAGUCACGGGGCCUGCAUGGCAAUGAGCAGGUGAAACCGCAGGCCUGCCCUAUUUAGCUGUACUCUGGUGAUUUGUCUUUCUAAUUCUAUUGAAAUAAUCAUCAGGAUUUGUUUCUGAUUAAUUAACUAACCUUUUGGUAAAAAGAUUAGAUAACGAAAUUGCUGCCUAUUCAGAGAUAAUGAGAUUUUUAUUACUCUGUCAAAGGAAAAAAAGUACAUUUAUGUGUCACCAGCCGCUGUGUCAAGAGGAAAAAAAAAAAGAGAGAUUUCAGUCUUUGUCGAAUGUGUAUAUUCCUCAACAGACGAAGGGUGUGCUUAAUUCUGUAGGAACUCCCCAGCCUCGUUUGACGCCUUUAGGAAGAGUUUUUAAAACAGCAAACAAAGUAAUAAACACAUUUAGGCCAAUAGGCUUUUGGGGAGGGUGCUAAUUUGUUUUAAAAUGUCUCCUAAUGGGAGAGAAACGCUUGGGAGUCUGGGGAACUUGCCUGUACUGUGUGGGUGUAUUUAUGUAAGUGUGAGAGUGUGAAGAAAGCAGUAAAAUCUCCGUGCGAGGCUUUAAAAUGACAUAUGUAGACAGGCUGCUUUUCCUCCGCACUACAGAUAUGUCUUCGACUUGCAGUACAUUUGUCUUCUGGCAGGAGCUGCACUCGGGCAAUGGGAAGGGGAAAUCAUCCGAGCUUAGCAGGCUGGGAGGUCACCUGUGACUGUCACAGGUAGGCUGCCUUAGGAAAUGAAUUAUUCUGACUGGCGGUGAGUAAAAAGGGAAGCAGCCCUUCUCCUGUUUCACUCCAAGACACGCAGCCAGUCAAUUUAACCUUUUCUCUUAAGAAGUCACAGCUCAAUCCUUUGUUAAGGGGGACUUUCAUUUUCUCACUCCUCUGUGCCUUCUUCAAUGCUGUGAUGCCAAGAAAAAAAAAAAAAUACCAACCCCGGGAAAAGCGCUUCCCUUGGAUAAAGAGAUGCCAAAUGCGCCAAAUAGGCUGUGUGAGCCAGGCAGCAUUGGAGGGAACAAAGCGCAGUAUAUUUCCAAAUAAAACUUCAAAGAGCUACAAUAUUGUUUUAAUUACUAAAACCUGAGGAGGAAACACAGUGCAUGUCUCUUCCUUCAAUGCAAUGAAACGGAGGAGUGGGAGAAAGGGCCAAGUGGCAGGCUGGGACCCAGCUGAGCAUUUUGUGAAAGUGUAUUUGUGUCACUGUCUUUUCAGAGUCAAUGAGACACUUAUGUUUCUUGUGAUAUCCUGUGGCCUUGGCUGCCUCCGUUUGUGUGUGUAUGAAAAUGAAAAGAUUUCAAGUUCUAAAAAUGGAAGUUUCUAUUCUGAAUUUCGUAUGGUUCACAGACAAGUUGCAACAGACCAAAGGAAAAAAAAAAAAGAAAGAAUGUGCAGGGGAUCAAAUGUGAACAUUCCAGAGCCCACUUUCCUGUCCUGCCUGGCGUUCCCACUCUCCUUCCCCUCUUUAUUCCAGUUCCUCCUGCACCUCCAAUUGCCAGCUAACAGGCUCCAUUCCUGAUAACAGAUGCUUGACAAAGAAAGAGAAAUAAGACAUUAAAAAAGAGUAGACUGCUGCUGGGGGUGGGGAUUUGAUAGCACAUUGCCAAUGGCUUUUUACAGGAACUUGCUCUCCCUGGCUCACUACCAAGACAGGGAAAGAACAGGGCGGGGGAGGGAGCCUUUGUCCUCAAACUCCCAGUGAAAUAUAGGGUUAAUAUUAGCAAUUAUUAUUAAAAUUAGCCAAAUGUUAUUAAAUGAUCUUUGUAUAGAAGAAUAAGUAUAGUUUUCCCUUUGGCAGACAAUGACAUCUGCAGCUCUACAUUUUCAUGAAAUGACUAUACUUAACAAAAACAUUACUUCAUUUUCAUGGUAUUUCUUUUGUGCCUAGGAGCAACCCUGUAAUUGUUCACUUCAAUUACAACAUUACUAUUUUAAACCGAAACCCAUUUUAUCUGCAUGCCAGCUUUUUAUUUGUUUUACCAACUAUAUCUAUUUCCAUUACUGCAAGGCUGAUGGUUUGUCUCAAGAGGAAAUCAAAUCCAUUAAUUCAGAAAUUUCAAGCCCGACUAGCUCUGCCAUAAGCAGCAUUUCUUAUGCUAAUAGCAAAUGUGCUGAGACUGAAAGGAACUGACAUGGCCCUGUUUUUUAUCAUAACUUAAGCAUUUAUGUAAGAAGGCAAAUCUAAUAGUAGUAGGAAACUGUAAGUGUUAUUAUAUAUAAUUCACUUUCCUGAGAUCUGGACAGGGCUCUGGUUUGUGUAGCCAUGGUUUAAAUCAGGCUGCCACAAGACUUUAACUCACCUGACUUUCCCUAUUCAGCCAACAUAUUGCUUCACAACAGAUACAUCUAGCAUGAAACUAGAUUUGUGUGUUUGUGUGGAUUUGUUUGUUUUAUUCUCUACUGUUUUUUCCCCCUGCAAGACGGACUUUUGUCAAUGCAGGGGGAAAAAAAAUCAUUUUGUAUUCAGGGGAUGUCUGAAACUUACGCGUGUAACAGCACUAGCCUGAGACAAACCUGGCUCCUUCUGUUUCAUUUUUAAUACACUCUGUUUGGGUCCUAUCACAUGGUUUGUGUUCAAUUAGAUAGCUUGACUCGAUAAAAUCUGACUCUGACCCAGAAAAAAAGGAGAGAGAGAGACUGCUCCUGACUCCUGCUUAAGCUUUUGCAGGCACUGUGACCUGUUUAUGUCAAUGGUAAAGUUUAAGAGAUUCCUAUCACAGAACCACAUCAUCUUCUGGGAUCUUAAAAAUACAGAAAGCACUCGAGGACCCUGGCCCUCCUUUGUCACUGCAAAGCCCUUCAGUGCUGUAAAUCAGUCCUCAUUGGGAGCUCUUAUACACCAGCCGUCACCGAUAAGCUUUGGAGAAGUAGACAAGGCUUUUAGGAAUUGCUGAACCAUGAAGUUGACCUGCUUAGGGUUUUGUUGUAGGCUAUUAAAUCCGGGAUGGCCGUUUUAAGAUGAUUCCGCUUUCUUUUUCCCUUGGCCUGGUUAAGCAACUCUACCCCCACCUCAUUAUUUGACUGAUUAAAAAAAAAAAUCAGAAUGGAGCAACCUGCUGUUUAAGAAUACUACCUUCACACAUCAAUUUAAUGAGAGUGACUUAUGCUGACGUAGUUUACGGGCUCAAGCAACUUGACGCUAAUUUUGCAGCUAAGAAAAGAUUUACUAACUGUACAUACUGCUCUGCUUUUGUUGGCAAGGGUACCACGAUUCUUUUCUCCAAAAACAAACUCUAAAUCUUUUGUAAACAUGCAUUAUUUGGUUAACACAUUGUAAAUGGAUCCCAGUUGUGCAGCACAAGCACUGUUCACUAUUAUGUAAACAAUUAUUCACUGAAAGCCUUGCUUUAAAUUGUAAAUGAAUAUAUUUCAGCUGUAACAUUGCUUUCAGACCUGCCCAGUGGUAUAAAUCUGGUCAUUUGUUUUUUGCACUCUGCCUAUUACUAACCGGUUAGAAAUGUGCUGAUUAUUUGCACAAGCCUUUCACACUGCGGGCACAGUUAAAUUGCUGUUUUAUUUUUCCUGUGUUUGAUGAGUGUUAACAGGAGCGCCAUUUGAGGAAACCCAAACCAAAUACAGCUCUUUAAUUGGGGUUGGAGUGUUUGGGAAAAGCCACCCGGUGAGUAAUUCCACUGUUUAAUGUUUGAAAGUUCAUCCACCUCACUAUAGGACUUAUGACAAGAUUAAUUAAAGGGAGUUAACAAAAAUGCAGGGCUUUGCUCAGCCAACCAGAAUAGCUUGAAAUACGGCGCACUCACUUGCAGGGAUGUAGAUUAUUUGGUGCAAGGUCUAAUUCCCAACUCUCUCCUUUAAACUCCUGUCAUUGCCAAAUAGCUCCAUUUUAAAUUCAGUAUCUCUUCAAGAAAGCACAAUCUGGAGAAAAAAAUAUGACAGAGGUAUCUCAUUGGGCCCCUGUGACUUCCUUUGCUCACAGGGUACGCCCAGUGGCUGAUGAAAGUUUCAGCUGACUCAGAAAGCCUUGUCUUUUUAUUUCCCCCUAAACAGUCAAUGAUUCAUUUUUAAUGUUUCCCCACCUCUUGUGGUUUAAUUGGGUUUCAGUAGUGUGCUGAUCUGCAGAGCUUGGAAGACAGAAAUAAUGACCUUGGAUGAUCUCAUUGGUGUGCACCAGAACAAGUGUAGUUUUAUUGAGCUCUGUUGCUAGAACUGCAAAACUGUAUGUUCAUUAACUUAGACAGUGCUGACCUUAGAUCAAGCCUAGGAUAAUGGGAAAAGCCCCAGAUUCCAGCCCUGGAUUUGCUCCUGACUUUGCACACUCAUUUUACCUCUGUGAGUCUUGCCUGUGGCAUAGCCGGGUUGGAUGGCACCAUCCUUAUUGUUCCUUCUGAAACUGAAAUUCUCAGAUACCUGCAGUGCAUAAUUCUACCUGCUCUUUCACAUCUAUAAAUAAAUAAAAGAGGAAGACUCAGUGAUCAAAAGAUAUGGUGUUUAAUAGCUAAAAGGACGAGGCUUUUUAUUUCCACAUUGAACAUUAGAAAGGGGAUCUGCAGUUUUUUUUGUUACUGAAAAUUCUGUAGAAUUCAGGUAGAAUAGGUAUGCUUCCUUCUGUGGCUAUUCUUUGCAACUUAAAUGACUAUACUAUCCUUAAGUAAACCACACAAGAAAUACUUUGUAGAUCUACAAUGGUUUGUAAUUAUAUUAUUUAUAAUUUGUUUAAUAUACUUUCCCUUAUAGUGAACAGGACUCAUGCUACCUUUUUCUUCCUAAUAAUCUACUUAUUCAGAUAGUCUAUUUUGCAUAUUACAUUCAAUUUAGGUUGAAAGAAUGAAAGUAAUGUGCACAUCAAUAAAUGGCUGUGAAAAUUAAGAUAGAAGACUUUUUUGUCUUCUCUGAAACUUUCUCUUUUCUAGAUACUGAUGCAAGUUAUCACUAAUGACAAAUUGGAAUCAUAAGCCUUGAGUACAAAAAGUCCAUUUAAGGACAAUUAUGAGCUUUGUCAUAAUGGAAAAUACAGGCAUUGAUUUCUUUUCCUCUGCUAAACACAGUUUUCUAAAGAAGAAACAGUCAGUCUCCUGUAGCAUUUCUCUUACCUAUAUAUAUGUGUUCGAUAGGCAGUUCCACAGAACAAAUGGAAAUAUUUUUUAAUUACAUAUGUUUUAGUUAGAAACACACUUGGAAUUUUUUUAAAUUGUAGUUUGUAAUAGUCCUGAGUCCUGGUAGUUGGUUUAUUUUAAAAUGUAGAUGUUACACCAAAUUGAAAUAUUAGCAGUGCUUUAUUUUACCUGCUUCCCUAUCUGCCCUGCCUUUCAUCCAGUGCUUCCAAGAGAAAUACACAUUUCACACUGCUCACAGUUCUAACAUUUUCUUUGCCUAUUUCUGACUUCUGACCUUGUCCAGACAGAUAACCAUGCUAUGAUGACUUUACCUUUCCACUCUCUACUUUAUAACACCAUGUCUAGGAAUGCCCCAGUUAAAAGAAGGAGCCACUGAUUCAGGCCAAAUGUGUGGAAUAUUGAUAAAGUCCAUUCAGAAUUGAAAAGUGUGCAGGGUUGCUCACAAUGACCUUCUUAGAAACACAUUAAGGAUGUACAAGUGUUUCUGGUCUUUAUUAUGGUCUUGGCUAUUUAUAUUAUACAAGGACAGACUUCGUCUGACUGGUUUUUGCUAUCAAACUUUCACGUUUAUUUCAAUAAAUGGUCACUUAAAUACCUGAAAGAGUUCAAGUAAGUUUUUACAUCAGUAUGUGGAACGAGUGCAAAGCAUUCAAAUAGUCUACUAUGCCCAAGUCGAGACUUUUCUGCUGUUGUCAAUGAGUCCAUAUAAUCUAGCUGAAAAAUAUUCUGAGCAUUUUCCUGAGCAGACAGAAUUCCUGUCCUGGACUUAUAUCUUAGAGAAUGUGCAGGUAAUCUAAAGAAUCUUUAAAAUAAAGGCCAAGCAGCCUUGGUUGAUAUGUUCCUCUUCAGUUACUUAAAUUCUAAGUUCUUUGGCAGUAAGGAAUUUAUCUUAUUCAUCUUUCCAAUCUGACUACCUAGCGCAAUGCCUCACAUUUAGCAAAUGUCCAAUAAAUGUUUGUUGACCUAAAUAAUUAUGGCAUCCUGAAUAUUCAUUCUUUACUCCAUGGUAGUAGAGAGAUGAGUCAUGUAAUCAAUGUGUACAACUUACAUGUAUAGGAAAAUAGUCAUUCCUACUUACAGAAUGUCCAGUUUGUGAAUUCACCUAAGGCUAGACACAGGUUCAGAGGCAGAAAUGUCAUUCAUAUUGCAAAAAUGAAGAUUUCCCUAAAAUAUGAUUAAAAUAAUACACCUAUUAGAAUUAAAUCAAUAUACCAGCAGUAGAAGGGAAGAUUACAAGGCACAAAUAAAGAAACAAAUCUUUGUAUUUAGGUGAGUCCUCAUCUUAAAAAUGUCUUCUAUUAUUAUACCUGUUGGAGUGAGACUCAAAUUUGACAAUCACUUAUUUAAGUACUUUAGUAACAGAAAGAAAUAAUUUAAUAGUUGAUAUGGUUUGGUUGUGUCCCACCCAAAUCUCAUCUUGAAUUGGAGUUCCCAUAAUCCUCAUCUGUCAUGAGAUGGACCAGGUGGAGAUAAUUGAAUCAUGGGAGCACUUUACCCCAUGGUGUUCUCGUGAUACUGUGUGAGUUCUCAGGAGACCUGAUGGUUUUAUAAGCAUCUGGCAUUCCCCUGCUUAUACUUCUCCUUCCUGCCAUCAUGUGAAGAAGGAUGUGUUUGCUUCCCAUUCUACCAUGAUUGUAAGUUUCCUGAGGCCUCCCCAGCCAUGCUGAACUUUUAGUCAAUUAAAUCUCUUUCCUUUAUAAAUUACCCAGUAUCUGGCAGUCCUUUAUAGCAGCAGGAGAACGGACUAAUACAAUAGUCAUUGUCAUAUAACAUAUUAUUUCACUCUUCUUAAGUAAGCAUAUAUUAUUUUUAUAAAAAUAAUAAAGCUAUUUUGAAAAAGAAAGUUGAGUAUGCCAUUCUUUCAAAUGCAGUAUGAUACAAAAUACAGUCAAAAGGAAUCAGGAAAGUCUGCAGAUGGAUGUUACAACCACACUAAGUCUUGAAGGAUAAGGGAAUUUAGCCUGGAGAAAGGAAGCAAUGUUCAUUUCAGGCAGAGGGAAAAGCAUAUGUUGAUAUACAGCUUUGGGUUUAAAUCACAUCCU
rnacentral:lncRNA from 1 species